rnacentral:rRNA from 1 species
CAGGCCAGCAUCAGUUUUGGUGGUUGGAUAAAGGCCUAGGGAAUGUAGCUUCUCUCGGGGAGUGUUAUAGCCUUAGGUGAAAUGCAGCCUACUGGGACUGAGGACCGCGCUUCUGCUAGGAUGCUGGCGUAAUGGUUGUAAGCGA